GGAGAGGUGGCCGAGUGGUUGAUGGCUCCGGUCUUGAAAACCGGCGUGCCCGAAAGGGUACCGGGGGUUCGAAUCCCUCCCUCUCCGCCA
rnacentral:tRNA from 1 species